GAUGAACGCUGGCGGCGUGCCUAAUACAUGCAAGUCGAGCGAACAGACGAGGGGCUUGCUCCUCUGACGUUAGCGGCGGACGGGUGAGUAACACGUGGAUAACCUACCUAUAAGACUGGGAUAACUUCGGGAAACCGGAGCUAAUACCGGAUAAUAUAUUGAACCGCAUGGUUCAAUAGUGAAAGACGGUUUUGCUGUCACUUAUAGAUGGAUCCGCGCCGCAUUAGCUAGUUGGUAAGGUAACGGCUUACCAAGGCAACGAUGCGUAGCCGACCUGAGAGGGUGAUCGGCCACACUGGAACUGAGACACGGUCCAGACUCCUACGGGACGCAGCAGUAGGGAAUCUUCCGCAAUGGGCGAAAGCCUGACGGAGCAACGCCGCGUGAGUGAUGAAGGUCUUCGGAUCGUAAAACUCUGUUAUUAGGGAAGAACAAAUGUGUAAGUAACUAUGCACGUCUUGACGGUACCUAAUCAGAAAGCCACGGCUAACUACGUG
rnacentral:rRNA from 1 species